rnacentral:rRNA from 1 species
AUCGAACCAUCUAGUAGCUGGUUCCCUCCGAAGUUUCCCUCAGGAUAGCUUGAACGCAACGGUUUUGUCAGGUAAAGCGAAUGAUUAGAGGCCUGUGGGCUGAAACAGCUUGCACCUAUUCUCAAACUUUAAAUGGGCAAGAGGCCCGGGAUGCUUGAGUGAUCCCGGGCGGCGAACGGCGCGUUCAAAGUGGGCCAUUUUUGGUAAGCAGAACUGGCGAUGCGGGAUGAACCGAACGCCGCGCUAAGGUACCCAAGUGUCCGCUCAUCAGAUACCACAAAAGGCGUUGGUACCUCCAGACAGCAGGACGGUGGCCAUGGAAGUCGGAACCCGCUAAGGAGUGUGUAACAACUCACCUGCCGAAGGUACUAGCCCUGAAAAUGGAUGGCGCUCAAGCGGACCACCGAUGCGCGGCCGCCGGCGCGAGCGCGAGGCGCCGGCGAGUAGGAGGGCGCGGGGCUCGCGGCGCAGCCUUGGGCGCGAGCCUGGGUGAAGCGGGCCCCGGUGCAGAUCUUGGUGGUAGUAGCAAAUAUUCAAAUGAGAACUUUGAAGACUGAAGUGGAGAAAGGUUCCGUGUGAACAGCAGUUGGACACGGGUGAGCCGACCCUAAGAGACAGGAAAACUCCGCCGAACGCGGCUGGUUCUGUCAGCCCGUCCGUCGAAAGGGAAUCGGGUUAAUAUUCCCGAGCCAGCGCGUGGAUGGUGGGCGGCGACGCGAACGAACCCGGAGACGCCGGCGGGAGCCCUGGGAAGAGUUCUCUUUUCUUCUUAACUGCCUCCUGCCCUGGAAUCGGUUUAGCCGGAGCGAGGGCUACACGGCAGGCAAAGCACCCUAAGUCUUGGGGUGUCCGGCGCGCUCCCGACGGCCCGUGAAAAUCCGGGGGAGCGGUUCGUUCUCACGCCUGGUCGUACUCAUAACCGCAUCAGGUCUCCAAGGUGAACAGCCUCUAGUCGAUAGAGCAAUGUAGGUAAGGGAAGUCGGCAAAAUGGUUCCGCAACCUCGGGAGAAGGAAUGGCUCUGAAGGCUGGGCGCAGGGGUCCUAGGCUCGAGGCCGGCUGGCUGCGCGGGGACUACGGCCUCACGGCUGCGGAUCCCGCGCGGCCGUCCGGCGGACGGCCUAGGAGCGCUCCGGCUCUCCCUGCGCGACGAACAGCCGCUUCAGAACUGGCGCGGACAAGGGGAAUCCGACUGUUUAAUUAAAACAAAGCAUUGCGAUGGCCCGCGAGGGUGCUGACGCAAUGUGAUUUCUGCCCAGUGCUCUGAAUGUCAAAGUGAAGAAAUUCAACCAAGCGCGGGUAAACGGCGGGAGUAACUAUGACUCUCUUAAGGUAGCCAAAUGCCUCGUCAUCCAAUUAGUGACGCGCAUGAAUGGAUUCGUGAGAUUCCCACUGUCCCUAUCUACUGUCUAGCGAAACCACAGCCAAGGGAACGGGCUUGGAAGAAUCAGCGGGGAAAGAAGACCCUGUUGAGCUUGACUCUAGUCUGUUACUGUGGAACGACUUGAUGGGUGUAGAAUAUGCGGGAGGGGCAACCCGACAGUGAAAUACCGCAACCGUCAACGUUGUUUUACUUACUCGGUGGCGCGGAGGGAGGCUCGCCUCACUUCUGGAUCCAAGCCGCUUCGUGCGCGCGAUCCGCGUCGGGGACACUAACAGGUGGGGAGUUUGGCUGGGGCGGCACGUCUGUUAAAAAAUAACGCAGGCGCCCGAUUUUGAGCUCAAUGAGAACAGAAAUCUCAUGUGGACCGAAAGGGGAAAAGCUCGGUUGAUUUUGAUUUUCAGUACGAAUACAAACCGCGAAAGCGUGGCCUAUCGAUCCUCUCGUCUUUGGGAAUUUCAAGCUAGAGGUGUCAGAAAAGUUACCACAGGGAUAACUGGCUUGUGGCUGCCAAGCGUUCAUAGCGACGUAGCUUUUUGAUCCUUCGAUGUCGGCUCUUCCUAUCACUGCCUCGCAGCGGGGGCCAAAUGCAGGAUUGUUCACCCACCAACAGGGAACGUGAGCUGGGUUUAGACCGUCGUGAGACAGGUUAGUUUUACCCUACUGCUGUCUGUUUUUCUACGGUAAUUUGGUUCAGUACGAGAGGAACCACCAAUUCGCAUCAUCGGUAUAGCCGCCGCCGGAAACGGCGAUGCGGCGAAGCUGCCAUGCGCCGGAUUAUAACUGAACGCCUCUAAGUUAGAAUCCAUGCCGGAAGGAAAGCCACCUACCGGCCCGGGGACGCCACGAGCAACGGUAGCACUGCCUGAGCCGCGAGCGACCACAAUUCACGGACCCGGGCCGACGAAUCCCUUGCAGACGACUUGAAUAAGGAACGGGGUAUUGUACGCGGCAGAGUGGCCUUGUUGCCACGAUCCGCUGAGAUUCAGCCUUGGUUCUGACGAUUUGU